GAUGAACGCUGGCGGCGUGCCUAAUACAUGCAAGUCGAGCGAACGGACGAGAAGCUUGCUUCUCUGAUGUUAGCGGCGGACGGGUGAGUAACACGUGGAUAACCUACCUAUAAGACUGGGAUAACUUCGGGAAACCGGAGCUAAUACCGGAUAAUAUUUUGAACCGCAUGGUUCAAAAGUGAAAGACGGUCUUGCUGUCACUUAUAGAUGGAUCCGCGCUGCAUUAGCUAGUUGGUAAGGUAACGGCUUACCAAGGCAACGAUGCAUAGCCGACCUGAGAGGGUGAUCGGCCACACUGGAACUGAGACACGGUCCAGACUCCUACGGGAGGCAGCAGUAGGGAAUCUUCCGCAAUGGGCGAAAGCCUGACGGAGCAACGCCGCGUGAGUGAUGAAGGUCUUCGGAUCGUAAAACUCUGUUAUUAGGGAAGAACAUAUGUGUAAGUAACUGUGCACAUCUUGACGGUACCUAAUCAGAAAGCCACGGCUAA
rnacentral:rRNA from 1 species